rnacentral:rRNA from 1 species
CCUACGGGUGGCAGCAGUAGGGAAUCUUCCACAAUGGGCGAAAGCCUGAUGGAGCAACGCCGCGUGGGUGAAGAAGGUCUUCGGAUCGUAAAACCCUGUUGUUAGAGAAGAAAGUGCGUGAGAGUAACUGUUCACGUUUCGACGGUAUCUAACCAGAAAGCCACGGCUAACUACGGGCCAGCAGCAGCGGCAAUACGUAGGUGGCAAGCGUUAUCCGGAUUUAUUGGGCGUAAAGGGAACGCAGGCGGUCUUGUAAGUCUGAUGUGAAAGCCUUCGGCUUAACCGGAGUAGUGCAUUGGAAACUGGGAGACUUGAGUGCAGGAGAGGAAGGUGGAAGU